CGGACGGGUGAGUAAUGUCUGGGAAACUGCCCGAUGGAGGGGGAUAACUACUGGAAACGGUAGCUAAUACCGCAUAACGUCGCAAGACCAAAGAGGGGGACCUUCGGGCCUCUUGCCAUCGGAUGUGCCCAGAUGGGAUUAGCUAGUAGGUGGGGUAACGGCUCACCUAGGCGACGAUCCCUAGCUGGUCUGAGAGGAUGACCAGCCACACUGGAACUGAGACACGGUCCAG
rnacentral:rRNA from 1 species